ACUUCACUAACCUCUAACAAGAAUGUAAAAGCAUGAAAUAGAGUUUACAGAAUAUCUUUCGUGUCUACUGUGUGCCCUGUUAUAUAAUAAAAGCAUGACUGGGAUGAAUGAGAUGCAAAAGUCAGGCAUACUAGAAGGAAGCUCUGAUUUAGUGAAUAAUGGACCGUUAAGUAAAGAUGGUAAUAGAAAUGCAUAUUAAUAAAGCUCUGGAGGCUGAGAAUCUCAAGAGUGAGGGGCCAGCAUCUGAUAAGGGCCUUCCUGCUGCAUCAUCCCAUGGCUGUAGGGCAAAGAGUGGGCAAGAGAAAGAGAAAGAGAGAGUGAGUGCACGCAACAGGAAAGUGGGCCGAAUUCACUGUUCUAUCAGGAAGCCACUCCUGGAUAACUAACCCACUCCAGUGAUAAUGGCAUUAAUCCAUUCAUAAGGGCAGACCCCUCAUGACCUAAUCAUUUCUUAAAGGUCCUAUCUCUCAACACUAUUGCAAUAGAUUAUGUUUCCAACACAUGGACUUUGUGGGCACAAAAACCAUAGUACCUCCCAUUUAUCAAUGGUUUGUUUUAGUACACCAGAAUGGAUCAGACAGCUUCUAAAGCCAUCCCACAUGCUGACAGAAGUCUAGCACAAAACAAGAGAGUCUUACUAAGUCUAAAACGGGGUGCUCCCAGGCUGCAUCUUCCUACAGUUUGUUGUAACAACAGUUCUGGGACCAAGAAGUGGGCCAAGAGGAUGCAACAUUAGAUGUAAAGGAUGUCCAAUAUAGCCUGUUUCUUGCCUAGGAAAAAAAAAAAAAAAAAAAAAAAAGACAGUGGGUGAUGCACAUCUUGCUAGAAGACUUGAGUUUGGAGAAAAACUCUCAUGGUAACAAAGAGUAUACAUUUACCUGGCCUUGUCCUUUAUGCAUAUAAAUCCCUGGGAGCAUCCGACAAGAAGGUGUAGCUAUGGCAUAAUGGGAUUACAGUGUGACUCUCGCCAUGGCUCGAUCUAUCUGAUAGGCACAACUGAAAUACACCGUGACCCUUGACCUCAAACAGUUUCGCAAGUCUUUCUGGCAUAUUGCCAACUGAAAAGUUUUAUGAUUUGGGGCUGUUAAAUAAAAUAUAUUAUGACCUUCUACUUGACAAAUAUACUUUCAUUUACAACAUUUAAAAAAUGUGUAAAGCUAUAAUUUUUGUAUGACUGAAAGGAAUAUAUCAAUGAUGAGAAUUUAAUUAUUGUCAUAACUGAGUUUGCUGUUCAUGA
rnacentral:lncRNA from 1 species